rnacentral:lncRNA from 1 species
AAGUGAGCCACACACUCUGUGUCCUCGCCUCACCAGGAAACUACUAAAGUUCCUGGGGAAGCAAAGUAGAAUUUCAUAAGAACAAAAUGGAUGGAGAGGAGAAAACCUAUGGUGGCUGUGAAGGCCCUGAUGCCACGUAUGUCAAAUUGAUAUCAUCUGAUGGCCAUGAAUUUAUUGUAAAAAGAGAACAUGCAUUAACAUCAGGCACGAUAAAAGCCAUGUUGAGUGGCCCAGGUCAGUUUGCUGAGAACGAAACCAAUGAGGUCAAUUUUAGAGAGAUACCUUCACAUGUGCUAUCGAAAGUAUGCAUGUAUUUUACCUACAAGGUUCGCUACACUAACAGCUCCA